rnacentral:rRNA from 1 species
CGUAGGGUGCGAGCGUUAAUCGGAAUUACUGGGCGUAAAGCGUGCGCAGGCGGUUCGCUAAGACCGAUGUGAAAUCCCCGGGCUUAACCUGGGAACUGCAUUGGUGACUGGCGGGCUAGAGUGUGGCAGAGGGGGGUAGAAUUCCACGUGUAGCAGUGAAAUGCGUAGAGAUGUGGAGGAAUACCGAUGGCGAAGGCAGCCCCCUGGGCCAACACUGACGCUCAUGCACGAAAGCGUGGGGAGCAAACAGGAUUAGAUACCCUGGUAGUCCACGCCCUAAACGAUGUCAACUAGUUGUUGGGGAUUCAUUUCCUUAGUAACGUAGCUAACGCGUGAAGUUGACCGCCUGGGGAGUACGGUCGCAAGAUUA